GUCCUUUAGAAUUUUAUUUAAGGUCUAACCUGCCCACUGAAUGUAUUAAAUGGCCGCAGUAAUUUGACUGUGCAAAGGUAGCAUAAUCAUUAGUUUUUUAAUUAAAAGCUUGUAUGAAAGGUUGGACGAGGUAAAAUCUGUCUCUAUUUAAUUUAAUUUAGAAUUUAACUUUUAAGUCAAAAGGCUUAAAUAUUAUUAAAAGACGAGAAGACCCUAUAGAUCUUUAUAAUUUAUUUAUUAAAUUUAAUUAAGAAUUUUUUAAAUUUUAUUAAUAAAAUUAUUUUAUUGGGGUAAUAUAAAGAUUAAAAUAAUUCUUUUUUUUUAUUAACAUUAAUUUAUGAUUUUUAUGAUCCAGUUUUAUUGAUUAUAAGAUUAAGUUACCUUAGGGAUAACAGCGUAAUUUUUUUAGAGAGUUCUUAUCGAUAAAAAAGUUUGCGACCUCGAUGUUGGAUUAAAGAUUAUUUCAGGUGUAGAAGUUUGAAAAUUUUGGUCUGUUCGACCAUUAAAUCUUUACAUGAUCUGAGUUCAGACCGGUGUAAGCCAGGUCGGUUUCUAUCUUUAGUAAAUUAAAAUAUUUUAGUACGAAAGGACCAAUUAUUUAAUAUAUAUAUAUUAUUAAUUUUGAUUAUUAUUAA
rnacentral:rRNA from 1 species